rnacentral:rRNA from 1 species
UACAGAGGUGGCAAGCGUUGUUCGGAAUUACUGGGCGUAAAGGGCGCGUAGGCGGUCUUGUAAGUCUUGUGUGAAAUCCCUCGGCUUAACUGAGGAACUGCACGGGAUACUGCGAGACUUGAGAUCGGGAGAGGGAAGCGGAAUUCCGGGUGUAGCGGUGAAAUGCGUAGAUAUCCGGAGGAACACCAGUGGCGAAGGCGACUACCUGGCCUGUUCUUGACGCUGAGGCGCGAAAGCUAGGGGAGCAAACGGG